GGGCUUAUAGUGUAGUUGGUUAUCGCGCCCGCUUCGCAACGGUGUUAUUCACGUGAUAACCACAUGACGCUGCGGGAGGUGCUGGGUUCAAUUCCCAGUGAGUCCA